rnacentral:rRNA from 1 species
CUAGUAGUGGGGGAUAGCUCGGGGAAACUCGAAUUAAUACCGCAUACGACCUACGGGUGAAAGGGGGCGCAAGCUCUUGCUAUUAGAUGAGCCUAAAUCAGAUUAGCUAGUUGGUGGGGUAAAGGCCCACCAAGGCGACGAUCUGUAACUGGUCUGAGAGGAUGAUCAGUCACACCGGAACUGAGACACGGUCCGGACUCCUACGGGAGGCAGCAGUGGGGAAUAUUGGACAAUGGGGGCAACCCUGAUCCAGCCAUGCCGCGUGUGUGAAGAAGGCCUUUUGGUUGUAAAGCACUUUAAGCAGGGAGGAGAGGCUAAUGGUUAAUACCCAUUAGAUUAGACGUUACCUGCAGAAUAAGCACCGGCUAACUCUGUGCCAGCAGCCGCGGUAAUACAGAGGGUGCGAGCGUUAAUCGGAAUUACUGGGCGUAAAGCGAGUGUAGGUGGCUCAUUAAGUCACAUGUGAAAUCCCCGGGCUUAACCUGGGAACUGCAUGUGAUACUGGUGGUGCUAGAAUAUGUGAGAGGGAAGUAGAAUUCCAGGUGUAGCGGUGAAAUGCGUAGAGAUCUGGAGGAAUACCGAUGGCGAAGGCAGCUUCCUGGCAUAAUAUUGACACUGAGAUUCGAAAGCGUGGGUAGCAAACAGGAUUAGAUACCCUGGUAGUCCACGCCGUAAACGAUGUCUACUAGCCGUUGGGGUCCUUGAGACUUUAGUGGCGCAGUUAACGCGAUAAGUAGACCGCCUGGGGAGUACGGCCGCAAGGUUAAAACUCAAAUGAAUUGACGGGGGCCCGCACAAGCGGUGGAGCAUGUGGUUUAAUUCGAUGCAACGCGAAGAACCUUACCUGGUCUUGACAUAGUGAGAAUCUCUCAGAGAUGAGAGAGUGCCUUCGGGAACUCACAUACAGGUGCUGCAUGGCUGUCGUCAGCUCGUGUCGUGAGAUGUUGGGUUAAGUCCCGCAACGAGCGCAACCCUUUUCCUUAUUUGCCAGCGGGUUAAGCCGGGAACUUUAAGGAUACUGCCAGUGACAAACUGGAGGAAGGCGGGGACGACGUCAAGUCAUCAUGGCCCUUACGACCAGGGCUACACACGUGCUACAAUGGUAGGUACAGAGGGUUGCUACACAGCGAUGUGAUGCUAAUCUCAAAAAGCCUAUCGUAGUCCGGAUUGGAGUCUGCAACUCGACUCCAUGAAGUCGGAAUCGCUAGUAAUCGCGGAUCAGAAUGCCGCGGUGAAUACGUUCCCGGGCCUUGUACACACCGCCCGUCACACCAUGGGAGUCUAUUGCACCAGAAGUAGGUAGCCUAACGAAAGAGGGCGCUUACCACGGUGUGGUCGAUGACUGGGGUGAAGUCGUAACAAGGUAGCCGUAGGGGAACCUGCGGCUG